GCAAACUUGGUCAUUUAGAGGAAGUAAAAGUCGUAACAAGGUUUCCGUAGGUGAACCUGCGGAAGGAUCAUCACUGAUUCUCGGGGGAGGAGUGUGUGUGUGUGUGUUCCCGCGCUGCUGCACGCACGCUUGUGUGUGUUGGUAGCGGGGUGAGCACGCGCGCGCGCACGCACACCCCAACCAAUCUUUUGUGCACGGUUUCAUGGUCAACGAGGCGCCGCGCGUGUGUUGGCGAGUAGUGUCGUGUGUGUGUGUGUGUUGUGUCCCCCAGUGCGGUGGGGCGCACUCGCGCGCGCGCGCACGCUUGCCAACCGCAUGCGUCCGUGCGUUCUCUGCUUGCAAUCUCUUGUGUAAUCUCUUUGUCUAACGUGCAUCAUUUUACCAAACACAUGUACAACUUUCAACAAUGGAUCUCUUGGCUCUCGCAUCGAUGAAGAACGCAGC
rnacentral:misc_RNA from 1 species